rfam:Streptomyces ghanaensis ATCC 14672 supercont1.1 genomic scaffold, whole genome shotgun sequence.
CUUCACCGAGCCCAGCCACAGCGGUUCCUCGCGGUCCUGGCCGUAGGUGGCCAGCAGCGCCUGCGCCUC